AGAGCGAACGCUGGCGGCGUGCUUAACACAUGCAAGUCGAGUGCGCGUCUGUAGCAAUACAGAUGGCGCACGGCACACGGGUGCGUAACACGUGGGUAAUCUACCCUCUGAUGGGGAAUAACUCGCCGAAAGGCGAGCUAAUUCCGCAUAAUAUUCCGAGAAUUCAGGUUUUUGGACUGAAAGCCGUAAGGCGUCGGAGGAGGAGCCCGCGCACGAUUAGCUAGUUGGUGAGGUAAUGGCUCACCAAGGCUAUGAUCGUUAG
rnacentral:rRNA from 1 species